rnacentral:rRNA from 1 species
GAGGAAUAUUGGUCAAUGGGCGAGAGCCUGAACCAGCCAAGUAGCGUGCAGGACGACGGCCCUAUGGGUUGUAAACUGCUUUUAUAUGGGGAUAAAGUGAGUUACGUGUAGCUUAUUGCAGGUACCAUAUGAAUAAGGACCGGCUAAUUCCGUGCCAGCAGCCGCGGUAAUACGGAAGGUCCAGGCGUUAUCCGGAUUUAUUGGGUUUAAAGGGAGCGUAGGCCGCCCCUUAAGCGUGUUGUGAAAUGCCGCGGCUCAACCGUGGCACUGCAGCGCGAACUGGGGGGCUUGAGUGCACGCAACGCAGGCGGAAUUCGUGGUGUAGCGGUGAAAUGCUUAGAUAUCACGAAGAACUCCGAUUGCGAAGGCAGCUUGCGGGAGUGCGACUGACGCUGAAGCUCGAAGGUGCGGGUAUCGAAC